rnacentral:rRNA from 1 species
UACGGAGGGGGCUAGCGUUGUUCGGAAUUACUGGGCGUAAAGCGUGCGCAGGCGGUUUUGUAAGUCUGACGUGAAAUCCCCGGGCUCAACCUGGGAAUUGCGUUGGAGACUGCAAGGCUAGAAUCUGGCAGAGGGGGGUAGAAUUCCACGUGUAGCAGUGAAAUGCGUAGAUAUGUGGAGGAACACCGAUGGCGAAGGCAGCCCCCUGGGUCAAGAUUGACGCUCAUGCACGAAAGCGUGGGGAGCAAACAGG